rnacentral:tRNA from 1 species
UAGGAAGUAGUAUAAUUGGAAGUACAUAGAGUUUUGAUCUCUAGGGAAUAGGUUCGAAUCCUAUUUUUCUAA